rnacentral:rRNA from 1 species
UACGAAGGGAGCGAGCGUUGUUCGGAAUCACUGGGCGUAAAGCGUGCGUAGGCGGUUUUGUAAGUAAGAAGUGAAAGCCUGGGGCUUAACCUCAGAAUUGCUUUUAGACUGCAAACUGGAGUACUGGAGAGGUUAGUGGAAUUCCGAGUGUAGAGGUGAAAUUCGCAGAUAUCAGGAGGAACACCAAUGGCGAAGGCAGCUCGCUGGGACGUGACUGACGCUGAGACGCGAAAGCGUGGGGAGCAAACAGG